UGUCAAGGGUCAUUGUGAAGAUUAGAUGUGU
rnacentral:piRNA from 1 species